GCUAAUACUUGACGGGAAACGCCCUCAGCCGAGUGUGUUCCUCCGGGAGCAUAAUCUACUGAGGAGGGGAGGAUCUUUUGGUCCUUUCAAUAUAUUACCACUUCUUUGUGAAUAAGGGUGGAUUAUAUGCCAAGAGAAUUGUAGAAAUCGAAAGAUUUUCACAAGUCAUCAUUAAGAAUAUCUGACCUAUCAACUGGUUGUUGGUAAGGUAGUGGCUUACCAAGGUGAUAACGGGUAACGAGGAAUAAGGGUUCGACAUCGGAGAGGGAGCUUUAGAAAUGGCUACCACUUCUAAGGAAGGCAGCAGGCGCGAAAAUUACCCAAUCUUAACAACUGAAGGAGGUAGUGACGACAAUUAACGCUUUCCCUCGCAUUUUGUGAGGAUUGCCGGAAUGAUCACGACAUAAACCAUCGUGAGAAAGCGAUUGGAGGGCAAGUCUGGUGCCAGCAGCCGCGGUAAUUCCAGCUCCAAUAGUGUAUUGUAAAGUUGUUGUGAUUAAAACGCUCGUAGUUGAAUGUAAACAAUCGAGGCAUGAUUUACGUUCUCUGGCGUGUGAGCUUGCUCAUUGUCAGUAGAGCCGCUAUCAUAGAAUGUCUCACUAUAAGCGGGAGUUUGAUUCAGUUCCAAACUCUUUUACUUUGAUUAAAUCAAGGUGCUUAAAGCAAAAUCUUCUGUUAAUGAAUGAUGAAGCAUGGUAUAAAACGAAAAACAGAACAGAAAUCAAUAUUGAAUAAUGAGGAUGGCUUGCCAUUCGAAUUUUUCGGUGUUUUGUUUUGUUUAAAACAAGAUUAAGAGAAAUGAUUAGGGUGAUUUAGAUAGGAACGGGAGAGGUGGAAUUCCAUGAUCGUUUCGAGAUAAACGAGAGCGAAAGCAUUUCACUGAAUUCAUUUCAUUAAUCAAGAACGAAAGUCAGGGAAUCAAAGACGAUUAGAUACCGUCGUAGUCCUGACCAUAAACGAUGUCAACUAAGGAUUGGAUAAGAAAUUUUCGAAGUACGGGUUUCUAAUAUCAACAGGCUACAGCUUGGCGAUUCUGAAACUGUCUUCAAUUCUUCCCUUAUUCAGGACUUGAUGAGAAAUCAUUAAGUGAAUGGACUUCAGGGGGAGUAUGGUCACAAGGCUGAAACUUAAAGGAAUUGACGGAAGGGCACACCAGGAGUGGAGCCUGCGGCUUAAUUUGACUCAACACGGGAAAACUUACCAAGACCGAACGGUGUAAGGAAUGACAGGUUACUGGGUCUUUCAUGAUUCAUCGGGGAGU
rnacentral:rRNA from 1 species